GACGAACGCUGGCGGCGUGCUUAACACAUGCAAGUCGAACGGACAGACCCUGCUCUUGUUCGUUUCUCGUUUGGCGAACGCGUGUGUAUCACAUGUGUAUCCUCUCCUUGUCUUUCUGGUAACUUCUCGAAAAUCGGGCUCAUAUCCCAUAUGAUCUCCUGCUCCAUGUUGGUGAUUGGAAAGUUUCGGCUGUUGGGGAUGGUCUCGCGGCUUACCAGCUUGUUGGUGGGGUAGUGGCUUACCAAGGCUUUGACGGUUAGCCGGCCUGAGAGGGUGACCGGGGACAAGGGGACUGAGGGAGGGAGCAGAAUCGUACGGGAGGCAGCAGUGGGGAAUAUUGCGGAAUGGGCGGAAGUCUGAGGCAGAAACGCAGGGAGCGGGAUAACGGCUUACGGGUGGUAAACCGCUGUCGAAGGUGACGAAGAGUGAGUGACGGUAAUGGGUAAAGAAGCACCGGCUAACUACGUG
rnacentral:rRNA from 1 species